UACGGAGGGGGCAAGCGUUAAUCGGAAUUACUGGGCGUAAAGCGCACGCAGGCGGUCUGUUAAGUCAGAUGUGAAAUCCCCGGGCUUAACCUGGGAACUGCAUUUGAAACUGGCAGGCUUGAGUCUUGUAGAGGGGGGUAGAAUUCCAGGUGUAGCGGUGAAAUGCGUAGAGAUCUGGAGGAAGACCGGUGGCGAAGGCGGCCCCCUGGACAAAGACUGACGCUCAGGUGCGAAAGCGUGGGGAGCAAACAGG
rnacentral:rRNA from 1 species